AUUGAACGCUGGCGGCAGGCCUAACACAUGCAAGUCGAGCGGAGCGGCGGACGGGUGAGUAAUGCCUAGGAAUCUGCCUGGUAGUGGGGGAUAACGUCCGGACACGGGCGCUAAUACCGCAUACUAUCAGAUCAGCUUCGGUCGGAUUAGCUAGUUUGUGGGGUAAAGGCCUACCAAGGCCACGAUCCGUAACUGGUCUGAGAGGAUGAUCAGUAACACUGGAAAUGGGACACGGUCCAGACUCCUACGGGAGGCAGAAUUGGGGAAUAUUGUACAAUGGGCGAAAGCCUGAUCCAGCCAUGCGGCGUGUGUGAAGAAGGUCUUCGGAUUGUAAAGCACUUUAAGUUGGGAGGCGUUACCAACAGAAUAAGCACCGGCUAACUUCGUGCCAGCCGCCGCGGUAAUAC
rnacentral:rRNA from 1 species